AGGUAGUGGACUAGACCGAGAGCUGCUGGUGUCCCAUUGCCUGGGGUGGAAGGUCAUCUGAAGAGCUUCAAGGGCUCUGGGGAGUCAGGUUGGUCUAGUUCUUUUGAGAGCUCUCUGCAAAGACAUGAUUUAUCCAUCUAUCCAUCCAUCCAAUAUUUAAUGAGUGCCUACCACAUGCCAGGAGCAGUUCCCACCCACUGAGAUACAUCAGUGACUAAACAGGCGAAGAUCUUUAUCUUUGUGGAGACUAUAUUCCAGGAGGGGGAGCAAAUGGUAAAUUCUAUAGUGUGUUAGAGGUGCUAAGAUUGUGCACAAAAAUGUAGAGCAGUGCUGUGGACAAUGUUUCCGCUUAAAAUUCAUAUGUUGAAGCCCUGAUCACCAGUGUGAUGAGAGGUGGGGCCUUUGGGAGGUAAUUAGGUCAUGGGGUGGAGCCCUCAUGAUGGAAUUAGUACCCUUACAAGAAGAGUCACAGGAGGGAUGACCUCUUUCCCUCUGCCUCGUGAGGACACAGUGAGAAGGUGUGAGACGCCAGAUCUGCUGGCACCACGAUCUUGUACUUUCCAGCCUCCAGAACUGUGGGAGAUAAAUGUCUGUUGUUCAAGCUUCCCAGUCUCUGGUCCUUUCUUGUUAUAGCAGCAUGGAUGGACUAAGACUGGGAGGUUGUGAGGGUACCGGAGUGGUGCUGAGAGCAGGAGGCUGUUGCGGUGAUCCCCCCUGAGAAGAUGAGAGCUGAGCAAGGACAUGAACGAGGAGGAGCCCAGGUGUAUCUGGGGGAGUCUUGUGCCCCAGACUGCAGUUCCUGCACCAGCAGAGGCCUGGUGUGCGCAGGGAACAGCACGGGGCGGGGGUGGGAGAUGAGGCCCAAGAGGGGAGGGAGGGGCAUCUUGUGCGAACGGACUUCGGCUGUUCACCUGGUGACAGAACGGGCCACUGCAGGGUCGGACUGACAUGCUAACCGGGUCCCCCUGGCUGCCGUGUGGAACGCAGAGCCUGGGAGGAAGGAAGGAAGCAGGGCCACCUGUCAGCAGUCUCUGGUCCUCACACAAGUGGGCGGGGGCUGGAUGCAGGGCCCCUGGCUGGCCCCGCCCUCGGUGGAGGGCACAGUGGCUUGGUUCAUUAGCCCAGUCAUCUAAAUGGUUCGUGUAAUACUUAAAACUACAGGAUCUGGAAACACAAUACUUUUAAUUAAAGAAUUUAAAUAAGGGCAAUUAAACCUGGCAGGAGGGAUGCCACAGCACACAGAGAGCUUAACUGGAAUGGAAACCAAGUUAAGUAUGGAAACAGCAUCAAAAAAAAAAAAAGAAAAUGUGCGGCGGUCGCUACGGUGCUGACAAGAUGGCGGCUGGCGGGGCCCGAGUGCCGGCUUCUGCCCUGCACGCUACACAGUGGAGCUCCUUCUCCUCCACCUACCUUCCUGAAACUUUCAUGGGAAUACUUAUGUGAAGGCAUUGUUCAGAAGGAAGAUACUUGGGUGUAAUGAACAUUUUAGUGGAUAAGCCAAAUGACCAGCCUUCACGGUGGUCUACAGAGAGCAGCUACCCUCCCCAGUACUUGAUUCUGAAGCUUGAAAGGCCUGCUAUAGUCCAGAAUAUCACAUUUGGAAAAUAUGAGAAAACUCACGUCUGCAGUUUGAAGAAAUUUAAAGUCUUUGGUGGAAUGAAUGAAGAAAACAUGACAAAGCUAUUGUCCAGUGGCUUAAAGAAUGAUUAUAACAAAGAAACAUUUACCUUGAAGCAUAAAAUUGAUGAACAGAUGUUUCCUUGUCGAUUCAUUAAAAUAGUUCCACUCUUAUCACGGGGCCCCAGCUUUAACUUUAGCAUCUGGUAUGCUGAACUUAGUGGCAUUGAUGAUCCCGAUGUAGUACAACCCUGUCUCAACUGGUAUAGUAAGUAGUACCGUGAACAGGAAGCUAUUCGCCUUUGCCUAAAACACUUCAGACAACAUAACUAUACAGAGGCCUUUGAAUCACUGCAAAAGAAAACCAAGAUUGCCCUGGAACAUCCCAUGUUAACCGAUCUGCACGAUAAAUUGGUACUGAAGGGUGAUUUUGAUGCUUGUGAAGAAUUGAUUGAAAAAGCUGUAAAUGAUGGCUUGUUCAAUCAGUAUAUCAGUCAACAGGAAUAUAAGCCACGAUGGAGUCAAAUCAUUCCCAAAAGUACCAAAGGUGAUGGAGAAGAUAACCGACCAGGAAUGAGAGGAGGCCAUCAGAUGGUUAUUGAUGUUCAAACAGAGACUGUUUAUUUGUUUGGUGGCUGGGAUGGAACACAAGAUCUUGCCGACUUCUGGGCAUACAGUGUGAAAGAGAACCAAUGGACAUGUAUCUCUAGAGACACUGAGAAAGCGAAUGGUCCUAGUGCUAGAUCAUGUCAUAAAAUGUGCGUUGACAUUCAACGAAGGCAAGUCUACACGCCAGGGCGUUAUUCAGAUUCCUCUGUGAAGAACAGCAAAUCUCUAAAAAGUGAUUUCUAUCGUUACGACAUUGACACAAACACAUGGAUGUUACUCAGUGAGGAUACUGCUGAUGGAGGACCGAAACUGGUGUUUGAUCAUCAGUUCCAAUGACAGGAUUCACACAGAGAGCAACCCUUGAUCCAGAACUGGAUGAAAUACAUGUCUUAUCUGGACUCAGCAAA